AGCCAUGUAAUGAGCACAAAGCGAACUAUUCUUUCGCCUUUUACUAAUGAAUACCGUGUGUUUGUUCCAAUAAGUGGCAUACGCUUAUUUUUGGAGAGGUUUCCGUUUUUGGAAUG